rnacentral:lncRNA from 1 species
UUCAAGCAUCAACACCUGAAACAUAUGUAAAAACUUAGUCAGCAAAGAAAUGCUGGCGAGUAGAUAGGUUUUAUAGGAGUGUCGAAUUCAUGGCUAGUUUAAGUGUUGCAAUACUUUAAUAAAAACUUUGUUUUGAAAAGAGUAUAAUAUUGCAACUUAAUUAACCAACUCGAAUCAAGUGGGUUAUAGUUUAUAAAACCUCGUAGCCAUGAUUCUUAACCCAAAAACCUUUGCUUUAGAACACCAACUUGUAAAACAUCUUGUAAAAGCUCGUUAAAAACUCGUAUAGUUUAUAUCUCUUAGAAAACAUCGUUGUGUGAUAUCGUUUCAAAAUCGUUUACCCAAGUGAACUAAAUAACGCCACGAUAUGUAAUAUGAUGAAAACACUUAUAUAUAAGAAGUACCAUCGGCGUAUCUACCAUGUUUUCACCACAUUACACCCGUCUCGUUAUCUAAACACUUAACCAAAAACCAAUCGCUUAUCGAAAUCGUUUAACAUCGUAUCCAAGUCGUUCCCAAAUCGUUUACUCGUUUCACCUCGUGUAUCUCGUUUCAAAUCGUUUAACUCGUCUCAAAUUCGUAUUCGUUUUAAUAGUGAACUACUUUUGGUCGUCUCGCUAACAACAUUCAAACCUGUGUGACUCGAUUAUUGUUCAACUCGUUUUCGCAUUAACAAACCUCCAAAGGGUAAGUUAAAAAUUAUCAGAUUCAGUCGUUACCCACAACCCCCACACAUAACCAUGGGUGUAGUGCAAUAACGGGAUUUGUCAGAUCCUAUGCUCGUUAAAAACUCGUAUAGUUUAUAUCUCUUAGAAAACAUCGUUGUGUGAUAUCGUUUCAAAAUCGUUUACCCAAGUGAACUAAAUAAAGCCACGAUAUGUAAUAUGAUGAAAACACUUAUAUAUAAGAAGUACCAUCGGCGUAUCUACCAUGUUUUCACCACAUUACACCCGUCUCGUUAUCUAAACACUUAACCAAAAACCAAUCGCUUAUCGAAAUCGUUUAACAUCGUAUCCAAGUCGUUCCCAAAUCGUUUACUCGUUUCACCUCGU